GGUUAAGUGAUUAAGCGUACACGGUGGAUGCCUAGGCAGUUGGAGGCGAUGAAGGACGUAUUAACUUGCGAUAAGCCAUGAUGAGCUAGUAAAAAGCGCAUGAGUCAUGGAUUUCCGAAUGGGGAAACCCAGUGUGGUAACACACUAUCCUUAACUGAAUACAUAGGUUAAGGAGGCGAACGAGGGGAACUGAAACAUCUAAGUACCC
rnacentral:ncRNA from 1 species